GAUGAAGAACGUAGCGAAAUGCGAUAAGUAAUGCGAAUUGCAGAAUUCCAGUGAGUCAUCGAAUCUUUGAACGCACAUUGCGCCCCUUGGUAUUCCGAGGGGCAUGCCUGUUCGAGCGUCAUUACACCACUCAAGCUAUGCUUGGUAUUGGGCGUCGUCCUUAGUUGGGCGCGCCUUAAAGACCUCGGCGAGGCCACUCCGGCUUUAGGCGUAGUAGAAUUUAUUCGAACGUCUGUCAAAGGAGAGGAACUCUGCCGACUGAAACCUUUAUUUUUCUAGGUUGACCUCGGAUCAGGUAGGGAUACCCGCUGAACUUAAGCAUAUCAAUAAGCGGAGGA
rnacentral:misc_RNA from 1 species